rnacentral:rRNA from 1 species
UACGUAUGGGGCGAGCGUUAUUCGGAUUCAUUGGGCGUAAAGCGUAUGUCGGGGGCCUAUUAAGUCGAGGGUGAAAUUUUCCUGCUCAACAUGAAAAUUGCUUUCGAAACUACUAGGCUAGAGUUUUGGAGAGGAGAUUGGAAUUCCAGGUGUAGGGGUGAAAUCUGUAGAUAUCUGGAAGAACACCAGUGGCGAAGGCGAAUCUCUGGCCAAAAACUGACCCUUAGAUACGAAAGCCAGGGGAG